rnacentral:rRNA from 1 species
GACGAACGCUGGCGGCGUGCUUGACACAUGCAAGUCGAACGGAAAGGCCUGCUUUCCCUUGUGGAUUGCGGGUACUCGAGCGGCGAACGGGUGAGUAACACGUGAGUGAUCUGCCCCCAACUUGGGUAUAAGCCUGGGAAACUGGGUCUAAUUCCCGAUAGGACUGCAGGGUGGUGCCUGUGGUGGAAAACGAUUUUCUAGUGGUUGGGGAUGAGCUCGCGGCCUAUCAGCUUGUUGGUGGGGUAAUGGCCUACCAAGGCGGCGACGGGUAGCCGGCCUGAGAGGGUGGACGGCCACAUUGGGACUGAGAUACGGCCCAGACUCCUACGGGAGGCAGCAGUGGGGAAUAUUGCACAAUGGGCGGAAGCCUGAUGCAGCGACGCCGCGUGGGGGAUGACGGCCUUCGGGUUGUAAACUCCUUUCGACCGCGAGGAAGCCACCUGGUUGGAAGGGUGGUGACGGUAGUGGUAGAAGAAGCACCGGCUAACUACGUG